UAGAAUGCGAUAUGCAAUGUGAAUUGCAGAACCAUGAAUCAUUGGAUCUUUGAACGCAACUUGCACUGGUAAAACCAGUAUACUUGUUUCAGUGUGCUCAUUCAAAUAUACAAUCUAAAUGUAAGAGAAAAUUCUCUUAUUAAAUCUAUGCUCCUGUAGCAGUCACAAUUAUUUGUGAACUACAGAUCUGUAAAUUAGACAAUAUUCGCACCUGAAAUCAAGUAAGAUGACCCGCUGGACUUAA
rnacentral:misc_RNA from 1 species